CAGCCGCCACGGUAAUACGUAGGUGGCAAGCGUUGUCCGGAAUUAUUGGGCGUAAAGGGCUCGCAGGCGGUUUCUUAAGUCUGAUGUGUAAGCCCCCGGCUCAACCGGGGAGGGUCAUUGGAAACUGGGAAACUUGAGUGCAGAAGAGGAGAGUGGAAUUCCACGUGUAGCGGUGAAAUGCGUAGAGAUGUGGAGGAACACCAGUGGCGAAGGCGACUCUCUGGUCUGUAACUGACGCUGAGGAGCGAAAGCGUGGGGAGCGAACAGGAUUAGAUACCCCCGUAGUCCCUGUCUCUUAUAC
rnacentral:rRNA from 1 species